UUAAAAAGCUCGUAGUUGAACCUUGGGCCUGGCUGGCCGGUCCGCCUCACCGCGUGUACUGGUCCGGCCGGGCCUUUCCCUCUGUGGAACCCCAUGCCCUUCACUGGGUGUGGCGGGGAAACAGGACUUUUACUGUGAAAAAAUUAGAGUGCUCCAGGCAGGCCUAUGCUCGAAUACAUUAGCAUGGAAUAAUAGAAUAGGACGUGUGGUUCUAUUUUGUUGGUUUCUAGGACCGCCGUAAUGAUUAAUAGGGACAGUCGGGGG
rnacentral:rRNA from 1 species